ACCUUACGUCAUGUUGGCUGUCGUGAUUCUGGUUAAUUUCUUCGCAAAAUGGUAAUAUUUUUCAUCCUUCCAAGUAAAAUAUUGUUAGUGUCUUACAGUCUAUCAAGUGUUGUUGACUCAGUGAACAAUCAAAAUAGAGCUGAGUUUGUUGCUUUGUCAUUAUGCAAAGAUUCUUAUUUGGUUAGGGGAAAAGAUUCUACAAUCGAUGCAUAAUUUGCGUAUGGUGCUCAGUAAACAUAGUAUUUCUUUUCAAUUAUUUCUUAAGCAAAAUUAAGGUCACCCCUGUCUACCCUACAGGUUACUCAGGAAUACAAUUUGUGUUUACAAAACGUUCAGCUAGCUAACUUACAUCGUGGUUUACUAAUGAGAAACCUGCAAUUUUUCAGAAUGAAAUGAAAACCACAUUUUCUUUUGACAUCUGAUUAACCGGCCAAAUGGAGGCCAUUGUCAGCAGUUUUAAUUUAGGUUGUUUUUAUCGAGCGUCAGUCCUCAGCCAAAUAUUAAUAUACCGUCUCAUCGACAUUGACGCCCAUUUCUGGAAACAAAGGCUGAUAAGCAAAGUUGGAAUCAACAGUUGGAACAGAAAUGGCGCAAUAAAACCCGACAUGAUACGUUUAGUACGCCUUGGAAGUUGUUGCACUGAUUUUAGUCAACAUUGAUGAUGUAUUGUGCCGGGGUGUGUUACCUGAAAAAUCACAAACUAUCCACUCGUCGAUCCGAGUGUAGCGCAUGCGAUGUCUGCGGUUUCCUUCCAUUCCGAUUCAACAAAUAAGUUUCCUGGUUUGCCAUUUUGUUGUUUCUCAUCUUUCGUUUCGUACAAGUUGUAUUCUUUUGCGCUUUUGCGCGUACAGAUGUAGACGAAAGGAUUUGGCGAAUAUAAGAAAUGAUGA
rnacentral:lncRNA from 1 species